rnacentral:rRNA from 1 species
UACUCGAGUGGCGAACGGGUGAGUAACACGUUGGUGAUCUGCCCUGCACUUCGGGAUAAGCUUGGGAAACUGGGUCUAAUACCGGAUAGGAACCAUCUUUAGUGUGGUGGUUGGAAAGUUUUUUCGGUGUAGGAUGAGCUCGCGGCCUAUCAGCUUGUUGGUGGGGUAAUGGCCUACCAAGGCGGCGACGGGUAGCCGGCCUGAGAGGGUGUACGGCCACAUUGGGACUGAGAUACGGCCCAG